CGAGUAGGCAUCCAAAGGGAUCGCAUUGAUCCCAAAUUUUAAUAAUAUUUAUUUUUAAUUUAAUUGGGAUCAUGCUAUCCUUUUGGAUUUCUCCUU
rnacentral:pre_miRNA from 1 species